AAUCACGCCCACUGGAGGGGGAAAAAAUUGUCGACACAAUAUGCAACCAAGGGCUGAAGCGCUGAACACAAUGCGUGUAGGUAGAUAAUGGUUCCGCUAAUGGCACACCAUAAUGUUCUGGUCAACGUUCUCGGAACGUUCUAAUCGUUCAAUUUUCGAGCGUUCUAGGGUGAGGUAGGCAUAUCUGGAGUAUGACUAGCGUGUCACUUAACGCAUGAGGAGCGUGAAGUGAAGACAGCCCUGAAAACUAUUCGCGUGUGCUGACGUCACUGGCGCGCGACGAACGAUUAAACGAUUAGUCAACGUUAGAAGAGCGUGGUUGAUUAACGUGAUUCACGUGUGAAUAACAACAGAAUAGGGUUUUGCUGGCGUGUGUGUUUUAUGUUUAAACGGGUAUAAAACGCUGGAAAGUCAUAGUGGAGUCAGUUGUUCUUCUGAGAGUGAACAAUGAACAGCAUGCCGCUAAGACGAAAACAAUGUGUGAGGGGGUCUUCUGCUACUAGCGCUGCAAGUAAGACGAAUGCAAAGUCUCUUUCUCUAGCAAUGUCUUCGGAUGAAGAACAACACCACGAGGAAGAGCCCAUCCGAGGUAUGACACCCCGUGAAGACCCUGAAGACCCCAUUGAGGACGUCCCGACCAUGGCAAAGAGAAGGAGGAAGCAGAGGAAGGACUGCAGGAUCCAGGACCAGGCGGUGGAGGAAAGUCUGGUGGAUUUUUUCCGCGAAAACGAACUGCUGUGGAACUCAAAGAAGACAGAAUACAGGAACAAGGCGAAGAGGCAACGGGUACUCGAGACCAAGGCCACAGAGCUGGAGAUCGGGGUGGACCACCUGUGGACCUGGUUCAAGUCCCUCAGGGACAUGUUCACUAGGUUGGACAAGAAGAAGAGUGGGGAGGGCCAGCAACAGUUGACGGAGAGGGAGAUGUGGAUAAAAGACAAAUUUGACUUUUUCCACCGUGCUGUCAACCACCGCUCAAAGCACUUCCGGAGUUUGAAGGUGAUUAAAGUUGAAACUCAGGGGGAGCGGGCAGCGGCGGAGGAGAGGAUUGAUGUUGACGAGUUUGCUGAGAUCGUCCCCGUCUUACAACGUCAACCUGCCCCAGCCCCGUCGGUGUCCUCCGACAUGGAGACCCUCCAGAGGAAGGCCAUGGAGAGCGGCGAGAUGCUGACGAUGCUGCGUGAGCAACUCCCGCCUCCCGAGCCAGUCACCGAGAGGACCACCUACGCCGCCUACGUCAAAAGUGUGCUGCUGGGGAUGAGUGUAAAGGACUUUCGCCGGGCCCGGAAAGGCAUCAACAAGGUCCUGAGGCCCUUCUGCGAGUCGGAUUCAACCGACGACAGUGAGGACCAGCCCAAUAGACUAUGUUAAUAUGAUUAAUGUAGUCUCCUAUGUCUACCAGAGAAGAAAGGGUACAUUGAUAGACUGCCAAAACAAUAAUAGUUUAUCUCAGUGACCCUUCUCCCUACCUUGCUUUCCUUAGAGAAAUUAUCUCUUGCUUGAUCUUUGCCUGACCUUUUGUUAAGAAACUAAACUCAUA
ensembl:lncRNA